rnacentral:rRNA from 1 species
CUGGCUCGGGACGAACGCUGGCGGCGUGCCUAAUACAUGCAAGUCGAACGGUCUUUUCUAUGGAAGCUUGCUUCCACUGAGAAGAUAGUGGCGAACGGGUGAGUAACACGUGGGUAACCUGCCCAUAAGAGGGGGAUAACAUCCGGAAACGGGUGCUAAUACCGCAUAGUUUUCUUGAUCGCAUGAUCGGGAAAGGAAAGACGGCCUUUGUGCUGUCGCUUAUGGAUGGACCCGCGGCGUAUUAGUUAGUUGGUGAGGUAACGGCUCACCAAGACGAUGAUACGUAGCCGACCUGAGAGGGUGAUCGGCCACAUUGGGACUGAGACACGGCCCAAACUCCUACGGGAGGCAGCAGUAGGGAAUCUUCCGCAAUGGACGAAAGUCUGACGGAGCAACGCCGCGUGAGUGAAAGAAGGUUUUCGGAUCGUAAAACUCUGUUGUCAGAGAAGAACAAGUUGGAGAGUAACUGCUCCAGCCUUGACGGUAUCUGACCAGAAAGCCACGGCUAACUACGUGCCAGCCGCCGC